CAUGCAAGUCGAACGAUGAUUAUCUAGCUUGCUNGAUAUGAUUAGUGGCGGACGGGUGAGUAACAUUUAGGAAUCUGCCUAGUAGUGGGGGAUAGCUCGGGGAAACUCGAAUUAAUACCGCAUACGACCUACGGGUGAAAGGGGGCGCAAGCUCUUGCUAUUAGAUGAGCCUAAAUCAGAUUAGCUAGUUGGUGGGGUAAAGGCCCACCAAGGCGACGAUCUGUAACUGGUCUGAGAGGAUGAUCAGUCACACCGGAACUGAGACACGGUCCGGACUCCUACGGGAGGCAGCAGUGGGGAAUAUUGGACAAUGGGGGCAACCCUGAUCCAGCCAUGCCGCGUGUGUGAAGAAGGCCUUUUGGUUGUAAAGCACUUUAAGCAGGGAGGAGAGGCUAAUGGUUAAUACCCAUUAGAUUAGACGUUACCUGCAGAAUAAGCACCGGGCUAACUCUGUGCCAGCAGCCGCGGUAAUACAGAGGGUGCGAGCGUUAAUCGGAAUUACUGGGCGUAAAGCGAGUGUAGGUGGCUCAUUAAGUCACAUGUGAAAUCCCCGGGCUUAACCUGGGAACUGCAUGUGAUACUGGUGGUGCUAGAAUAUGUGAGAGGGAAGUAGAAUUCCAGGUGUAGCGGUGAAAUGCGUAGAGAUCUGGAGGAAUACCGAUGGCGAAGGCAGCUUCCUGGCAUAAUAUUGACACUGAGAUUCGAAAGCGUGGGUAGCAAACAGGAUUAGAUACCCUGGUAGUCCACGCCGUAAACGAUGUCUACUAGCCGUUGGGGUCCUUGAGACUUUAGUGGCGCAGUUAACGCGAUAAGUAGACCGCCUGGGGAGUACGGCCGCAAGGUUAAAACUCAAAUGAAUUGACGGGGGCCCGCACAAGCGGUGGAGCAUGUGGUUUAAUUCGAUGCAACGCGAAGAACCUUACCUGGUCUUGACAUAGUGAGAAUCCUGCAGAGAUGCGGGAGUGCCUUCGGGAAUUCACAUACAGGUGCUGCAUGGCUGUCGUCAGCUCGUGUCGUGAGAUGUUGGGUUAAGUCCCGCAACGAGCGCAACCCUUUUCCUUAUUUGCCAGCGGGUUAAGCCGGGAACUUUAAGGAUACUGCCAGUGACAAACUGGAGGAAGGCGGGGACGACGUCAAGUCAUCAUGGCCCUUACGACCAGGGCUACACACGUGCUACAAUGGUAGGUACAGAGGGUUGCUACACAGCGAUGUGAUGCUAAUCUCAAAAAGCCUAUCGUAGUCCGGAUUGGAGUCUGCAACUCGACUCCAUGAAGUCGGAAUCGCUAGUAAUCGCAGAUCAGAAUGCUGCGGUGAAUACGUUCCCGGGCCUUGUACACACCGCCCGUCACACCAUGGGAGUCUAUUGCACCAGAAGUAGGUAGCCUAACGCAAGAGGGCGCU
rnacentral:rRNA from 1 species